GUGCUUGCUUCGACAGCACAUACACUAAAAUUGGAACUAUACAGAGAGUAUUUGCAUGGCCCCUGAACAAGAAUAACAUGCAAAUUCAUGGUGUUCUAUAGUUUAAA